rnacentral:tRNA from 2 species
GGCCCGGUGGCGGAAUGUCAACGCGGGGGCAGUGCAUCGUCCCAUAUCCUGGUUCAAAUCCAGGCCGGGCCUCCA